rnacentral:rRNA from 1 species
GACGAACGCUGGCGGCGUGCUUAACACAUGCAAGUCGAACGGUGAAGCGCUUGCCUUUUUGGUGGGUGUGGAUGAGUGGCGAACGGGUGAGUAACACGUGAGUAACCUGCCCUCUUCUUCUGGAUAACCUCAUGAAAGUGGGGCUAAUACGGGGUAUUCCGGGUCUGUCGCAUGGCGGGUUUGGGAAAGAUUGCGCCUUUGGGUGUUUUCGGUGGGGGAUGGGCUCGCGGCCUAUCAGCUUGUUGGUGGGGUGAUGGCCUACCAAGGCGGUGACGGGUAGCCGGACUGAGAGGGUGGACGGCCACACUGGGACUGAGACACGGCCCAGACUCCUGCGGGAGGCAGCAGUGGGGAAUAUUGCACAAUGGGCGCAAGCCUGAUGCAGCGACGCCGCGUGAGGGAUGGAGGCCUUCGGGUUGUGAACCUCUUCCGCCAGUGAAGCAGGCCUGCUCCUGUGUGGGUGGGUUGACGGUAGCUGGAUAAGAAGCGCCGGCUAACUACGUG